rnacentral:rRNA from 1 species
UACAUGGGGUGCAAACGUUGCUCGGAAUUAUUGGGCGUAAAGCGCACGUAGGCGGUUUGUUAAGUCGGAUGUGAAAUCCCUCGGCUCAACUGAGGAAGUGCAUCCGAAACUGGCAGGCUUGAGUACUAAAGAGGGUCGCGGAAUUCCCGGUGUAGAGGUGAAAUUCGUAGAUAUCGGGAGGAACACCGGUGGCGAAGGCGGCGACCUGGGGUAGAUACUGACGCUGAGGUGCGAAAAGCGUGGGGGAGCAAACAGG